rnacentral:sRNA from 1 species
UGGAGCUUAAUUGAUGACUUACAUUGCUCGUUUCAACGGUCUACUACUACUAAACGCAUCUUCGUUGCGCGGUAGACUGGUGGACGACAUUCAGCAUUAAGUCAGCUCCAGUUAAGACAGAAACCCGCGCCGUUGCGCGGGUUUUUUU